rfam:Mus musculus chromosome 10, GRC primary reference assembly.
GACCUCGUGGCACAAUGGUAGCACGUCUGACUCCAGAUCAGAAGGUUGCGUGUUCAAAUCACGUCGGGGUCA